CCUGAGAGGGUGAUCGUCCACACUGGGACUGAGACACGGCCCAGACUCCUACGGGAGGCAGCAGUAGGGAAUCUUCGGCAAUGGGGGGAACCCUGACCGAGCAACGCCGCGUGAGUGAAGAAGGUUUUCGGAUCGUAAAGCUCUGUUGUUAAGGAAGAACGAGUGUGAGAAUGGAAAGUUCAUACUGUGACGGUACUUAACCAGAAAGGGACGGCUAACUACGUGCCAGCAGCCGCGGUAAUACGUAGGUCCCGAGCGUUGUCCGGAUUUAUUGGGCGUAAAGCGAGCGCAGGCGGUUAGAUAAGUCUGAUGUGAAAAUGCAGGGCUCAACUCUGUAUUGCGUUGGAAACUGUAUAACUAGAGUACUGGAGAGGUAAGCGGAACUACAAGUGUAGAGGUGAAAUUCGUAGAUAUUUGUAGGAAUGCCGAUGGGGAAGCCAGCUUACUGGACAGAUACUGACGCUGAAGCGCGAAAGCGUGGGUAGCAAACAGGAUUAGAUACCCUGGUAGUCCACGCUGUAAACGAUGAUUACUAGGUGUUGGGGGUCGAACCUCAGCGCCCAAGCAAACGCGAUAAGUAAUCCGCCUGGGGAGUACGUACGCAAGUAUGAAACUCAAAGGAAUUGACGGG
rnacentral:rRNA from 1 species